rnacentral:snRNA from 1 species
CAAUGUUAAAUUCCUUUUUGUCAAACCCAUUCAUGAAUCCGUUUGGGUUACAAGUACCACCAAUACUAGGACAAAAUGCAAACUUGAUAGCUCAGAUGCCUCAAGUUUCUACAAUGAAUCCAGCUUCACAAAUGAACAUGAAUAUGUUUGGUCGUUAUUAUGGAAUGACCCUUCCGCAAGGCCAAACCAACCACUCGCCAGCAGUAUCUCCUAUAGGUCAAAAUGCCAAUCCCGCAUCUUCAGCUCCUUCACAACCUGAUUCUGCGAUGUGGUUUAAUCAGCUUAAUUCCGCACAGCAGUUAAUGCCUAAUCAUGAUCAACUAGUGCAACAACCAGCAACUUCGGACUCUUUUAACACAUCUCGAGCAGAUGAAGACACCUCCCUUAUUAGCGAGACCACAAGCAAACAAACAGAAAAUCUGCUCGAAGUCUCAUCGAGCAGCAACAAGACAUCCAGCUAAUGUAAAAAAGUCUCUAAAGUU